rnacentral:lncRNA from 1 species
GUUUUGCACUCAGUUUUUAAUUACUGAAUUAUGUUUUUUCACCUUGAUACUUUAUGAUCAUCAGAAAGCUACUUACAUAAUUUAUAAUCAUACUUUAUGCUAAAUGCCCAUUUGUAACUGCAAGAAACUCAUGUUACACUAUUGACUAUGAUAUUAAACAAAGUCAUGGUCACAAGUUUUUGUAUAAGAGGUUUAUGUCUCUAUCUCUUAAAGCAAGAAAUAUCACACAGUUCAGAUUUACAUAAGUAGUGCCUCACCAUUAGAAAAAUUAAACUAAAUAAGGAAAAAAACAAAGGAGAGAAAAGAAAUUUUACAAAAUGGCAACUAGCAUGACCUAAAAGAGUGUACUGAAGUUAUCUUCCUUCAAUUCAGUAACAGAGUCCUAUUGGAAUGAACAUUUAUGGAUAACCAAGUUAUUACGACAGUGUUCCUCUUAGUGCUCAGGUUUGACAACCUAUGUCAAAAUAAUUUCUACAUUCUGUAAGGAAAGACAGACUUUGAAAAUGGAGUGACUGUUUCAAAAAC